GCAAGUCGAGCGGUAACAGAGAUAUCUUGCUAUCUGCUGACGAGCGGCGGACGGGUGAGUAAUGCUUAGGAAUAUGCCUUGAUGUGGGGGACAACCAUUGGAAACGACUGCUAAUACCGCAUAAUGUCUACGGACCAAAGGAGGGGAUCUUCGGACCUUUCGCCUGUAGAUUAGCCCAAGUGAGAUUAGCUAGAUGGUGAGGUAAUGGCUCACCAUGGCGACGAUCUCUAGCUGGUUUGAGAGGAUGAUC
rnacentral:rRNA from 1 species